CGGACGGGUGAGUAAUGUCUGGGAAACUGCCCGAUGGAGGGGGAUAACUACUGGAAACGGUAGCUAAUACCGCAUAACGUCGCAGGACCAAAGAGGGGGACCUUCGGGCCUCUUGCCAUCGGAUGUGCCCAGAUGGGAUUAGCUAGUAGGUGGGGUAACGGCUCACCUAGGCGACGAUCCCUAGCUGGUCUGAGAGGAUGAUCAGCCACACUGGGACUGAGACACGGCCCAG
rnacentral:rRNA from 1 species